UGUGCUCCUCCAAAGCACAAUUUCCCCUCCUUACUGGUGUUGCUUUCUGGUCCCAGCCUUUGUGAAUCCCUGCAGGGGCCUUGGGAGGAGGAAUUACUCUUCCUUUAGCACCACUCUGUACCCCAGGCUCACAUCAGGAAGCCAUGUGAGGAGGACUUUGCCAUCAAGGCGGUCUCUUUCCGGCUCUGCCAAAUUGCCCCAGGGUGCCUCAUUAAGCCUGCUGCUCCCUCACUCGUUUCUUUUUUAAUGCAUGGGCUGACAGGCCUGGAAAUAUCAAACUCAGCAGCUUCAUGCCCUGUUCAGAUCUGAAGCACCAUACUUCGGAGCUAAUUAGCUGGGUUUCAAAUCAGAAGGGCAACGGGCUGCUGUCUCUGCUGUCCUGUUUCAUCAGGACCUCCCAAGAAGAUUGUUUUAAAGUUUUUUUCCCUUCCUAGUUCUCCAGUGGAAGAUAGAAGGAUGAUUCAUUCCCCAUUUGACUGAAAAGAAACCAGAGCAUGAAAAGAUGAAAGGAUACCAGAAAGAAAA